GUACACGCUGUGACUAGCAUAUCAAUAAGCGGAGGAAAAGAAACUAACAAGGAUUCCCCUAGUAACGGCGAGUGAAGCGGGAAGAGCUCAAAUUUGAAAUCUUAAAGGGUUUCCCUUUACGAAUUGUAGUUUAAAGAAGUGUUUUCUGUUGAGGUUUUGGUAAAAGUUCUUUGGAAUAGGACAUCAUAGAGGGUGAGAAUCCCGUAUUUGACCUUUACUUUCAACUUUGUGAUACACUUUCAAAGAGUCGGAUUGUUUGGGAAUGCAGUCCAAAAUGGGUGGUAAAUUUCAUCUAAAGCUAAAUAUUGGCGAGAGACCGAUAGCGAACAAGUACCGUGAGGGAAAGAUGAAAAGAACUUUGAAAAGAGAGUUAAACAGUACGUGAAAUUGUCAAAAGGGAAGCGUUUGACACCAGUGUUGUUUUUCUGAAAAUCAAUUAAAGAACUGUUUAUGCUAAGUUGUUUAGACUUUAUCAGCUAACUGUUUAGUUUUGAGCUUUUCUUUAAUGCACUUUUCAGUUAACAAGUCAACAUCAAUUUCUUUUGCUGUAAAAAAGCUUGAGGAAGGUGGCUUGAGAUUCGUCUUAAGUGUUUAUAGCCUCUUGCCUAUGCAGUCGGAGAGAUUGAGGUCUGCAGCGUAGAUCCUUCGGGGCUAAAUGCAUUUGUGCUAAGUCAUAGCAUUUUAUAGACAACUUGUUGACUAUGGUUUGUCUUGUAGCUUACUCGCUUAUGUUAUUUUACCUACGCUUAGGAUGUUGAAGUCAUCGUAUCGCGC
rnacentral:rRNA from 1 species